CUAUGCGCCUUGCCAGCCCGCUCAGGUGUGCCAGCCGCCGCGGUAAUACGGAGGAUGCGAGCGUUAUCCGGAUUUAUUGGGUUUAAAGGGUGCGUAGGCGGAUUUUUAAGUCAGCGGUAAAUGUCCGGGCUCAACCCGGGCCGGCCGUUGAAACUGGGGAUCUUGAGUGGGCGAGAAGUACGCGGAAUGCGCGGUGUAGCGGUGAAAUGCAUAGAUAUCGCGCAGAACUCCGAUUGCGAAGGCAGCGUACCGGCGCCACACUGACGCUGAGGCACGAAAGCGUGGGGAUCGAACAGG
rnacentral:rRNA from 1 species